GACGAACGCUGGCGGCGUGCUUAACACAUGCAAGUCGAACGGAAAGGCCCUGCUUUUGUGGGGCGCUCGAGUGGCGAACGGGUGAGUAACACGUGAGUAACCCGCCCUUGAAUUUGGGAUAACUUCAGGAAACUGGGGCUAAUACCGGAUAGGAGCUCCUGCAGCGUGGGGGGGGUUGGAAAGUUUCGGCGGUGGGGGAUGGACUCGCGGCUUAUCAGCUUGUUGGUGGGGUAGUGGCUUACCAAGGCUUUGACGGGUAGCCGGCCUGAGAGGGUGACCGGCCACAUUGGGACUGAGAUACGGCCCAGACUCCUACGGGAGGCAGCAGUGGGGAAUAUUGCACAAUGGGCGGAAGCCUGAUGCAGCAACGCCGCGUGCGGGAUGACGGCCUUCGGGUUGUAAACCUCUUUCGCCUGUGACGAAGCGUGAGUGACGGUAAUGGGUAAAGAAGCACCGGCUAACUACGUG
rnacentral:rRNA from 1 species